CUUGAUGGGAUGGAUCGCAAUAGUCCUUCCAUCAWCUUACAAAUCUAAACCUCUUAGCGAAAGCGCACUCACACCGACAGGCCAAGUGAACCGUGUUAUGCUAGAGUACCGCCGCACGUACAACACACACAAACAAAGUCAUCGAUACCGUUGGCACCAGUGUAUCAUGGCACGAAUUCAGACAGUCAAGAAUUCUCACUUACAUAGGCACAAGUUUAGAUCCAAGAUUAUAUUGUGCAAAUGGCUUGACUACUGUAUGGUAUGUAAUACUGAAGAUAUCGCGGUGACAAAGGUAAAAGAACUUACAGAAUAAAUACGUUGUUGAUGCCUCUUGUGACGGAAAGAUCGUCGUAUUUUUGAAGUGUACAGAUACGUCAUAAAGGUUGGCCAUUGUAAGUACGUACAAAGACCGGAAUACAACAUAAAGUGCAGCCAUUUCUGUAAUCAACAAAACCAUUCGUCAUCCCAAAUAAAAGGUGAGGCGAAGCUUCCACGGCUUCGUUGGUUUAAUGCAUUAAUACAGAAAACUGAGCGUCGAGAGGAACUGAAGAAAAUGAUAGCUGGAAACAAAUGCUUGCAAACAGAUAUUAACUGGGGAGAAAGUGUGUAGCAAGUGGUUAAAGCUUUGGUCCCUAAUCCUAACAUGUUCCUGGUUUGAUUAAAGGUCUACGGCGAAAAAACUACAAGUGACUGGGGUUGUUACUUUACUCCAUUGCUUCAUGGUUUCAUUUCUUUGGCAGUGUUGCAUUGGAUGGAGCAUCGGUCGGAGUUUGAGGUGUAGAAUCAUUGUCGUUUACUGCAAACAAAACAAGAUUCAUUCAACUUGUCAUGCAACAAAAGCAUUUACUGCAAGUUGGGCAAAAAUCAAACUCACUAGUCUAACAAAAAAGGUAAA